rnacentral:rRNA from 1 species
CUUCGGGAUGGAAGGAUAAGCCUUAGUGGCGGACGGGUGAGUAACGCGUGGGUAACCUGCCCUUUUGUGGGGAACAACUUCGAGAAAUCGGAGCUAAUACCGCAUAAUAAUAGAGGAUCGCAUGAUUCUUUAAGGAAAGAUGGCCUCUGAAGAUGCUAUCGCAAAAGGAUGGACCCGCGUCUGAUUAGCUAGUUGGAAGGGUAACGGCCUACCAAGGCAACGAUCAGUAGCCGGCCUGAGAGGGUGAACGGCCACAUUGGGACUGAGACACGGCCCAAACUCCUACGGGAGGCAGCAGUGGGGAAUCUUCCGCAAUGGGCGAAAGCCUGACGGAGCAAUGCCGCGUGAGUGAAGAAGGCCUUCGGGUUGUAAAACUCUGUCCUUAUCGAAGAGAGGUAGGUAUGUGAAUAAUGUACCUAUAGGACGGUAGAUAAGGAGGAAGCCCCGGCUAACUACGUGCCAGCAGCCGCGGUAAUACGUAGGGGGCGAGCGUUGUCCGGAAUCACUGGGCGUAAAGGGCGCGUAGGCGGUUUAAUAAGUCAGUGGUGAAAACUGAGGGCUCAACCCUCAGCCUGCCACUGAUACUGUUAGACUUGAGUAUGGAAGAGGAGAAUGGAAUUCCUAGUGUAGCGGUGAAAUGCGUAGAUAUUAGGAGGAACACCAGUGGCGAAGGCGAUUCUCUGGGCCAAGACUGACGCUGAGGCGCGAAAGCGUGGGGAGCAAACAGGAUUAGAUACCCUGGUAGUCCACGC